rnacentral:rRNA from 1 species
GAUGAACGCUGGCGGCGUGCCUAAUACAUGCAAGUCGAGCGAACAGACGAGGAGCUUGCUCCUCUGACGUUAGCGGCGGACGGGUGAGUAACACGUGGAUAACCUACCUAUAAGACUGGGAUAACUUCGGGAAACCGGAGCUAAUACCGGAUAAUAUAUUGAACCGCAUGGUUCAAUAGUGAAAGACGGUUUUGCUGUCACUUAUAGAUGGAUCCGCGCCGCAUUAGCUAGUUGGGAAGGUAACGGCUUACCAAGGCGACGAUGCGUAGCCGACCUGAGAGGGUGAUCGGCCACACUGGAGCUGAGACACGGUCCAGACUCCUGCGGGAGGCAGCAGUAGGGAAUCUUCCGCAAUGGGCGAAAGCCUGACGGAGCAACGCCGCGUGAGUGAUGAAGGUCUUCGGAUCGUAAAACUCUGUUAUUAGGGAAGAACAAAUGUGUAAGUAACUAUGCACGUCUUGACGGUACCUAAUCAGAAAGCCACGGCUAACUACGUG